CGCCCCCACCUGGCUGCAUUCAUCGCCGCGCGAUGAAUACAGCACGGUAUCUUUCGACGGAGGUUCUUUCAGUGGAUUCAGGAAGGAACUGGUGUUGCCACGGACGCCGCGUGAGGGAUUCACAGACUGCGAGGAUAGUCAUGGAGUUGGAAGAAAUGGGAUUCCUCCAGUAACGCGAGGGAAAACAGUUUCUCCGUUAUGCAGAUUGAAGUUUUCCGGAACGACCUUUCUCAAUUGUGAGCGCUGCCUUCGAAGACUAUUCCUAUUCAGGCGCCGUUACUUCCAACAAAACCGGUAAAUAACUACAGUUACAAGCUGG